rnacentral:rRNA from 1 species
AACCUGCGGAAGGAUCAUUACUGAAUUUAAUGAAGGCAGUUGCUGGCUCUUUCACGAGAGCAUGUGCACGCCUUCAAAUUCAUCUCUUACCACUGUGAACUGUAGUAGACUAUGAUAUCUCUCAAUGGUUUUCCAUUGGAUUGAAGGACAUGCGCUUAGCUGUCUUUCGACUUCAUAGUCUCCCCCUUAUCUUUAUAAACUAAAGUCAUAGAAUGUCUUUUGUGGGUGUAAAAACCUAUAAACAUAUACAACUUUCAACAACGGAUCUCUUGGCUCUCGCAUCGAUGAAGAACGCAGCGAAAUGCGAUAAGUAAUGUGAAUUGCAGAAUUCAGUGAAUCAUCGAAUCUUUGAACGCACCUUGCACUCCUUGGUAUUCCGAGGAGUAUGCCUGUUUGAGUGUCAUUAAAUUCUCAAACCUCAUAGGCUUUAUUGACUAUGAGGCUUUGGAUGUGGGGGUUGCUGGCUUUUCACGAAGUCAGCUCCUCUUAAAUACAUUAGUGGUUACUGUUCUCCACUUCUUGGUGUGAUAAUUAUCUACGCCUAGUGAAGAAGUAAAGUGUAGCUGCUUUCUAACCGUCCAUUUACUUGGACAACUUGAACCUAUUGACCUCAAAUCAGGUAGGACUACCCGCUGAACUUAAGCAUAUCAAUAAGCGGAGGAAAAGAAACUAACAAGGAUUCCCCUAGUAACUGCGAGUGAAGCGGGAAAAGCUCAAAUUUAAAAUCUGGCGGUUCUUGUAGCCGUCCGAGUUGUAAUUUAGAGAAGUGUUAUCCGCGCUGG